GUGGAUUAGAUACCCUGGUAGUCCACACCGUAAACGUUGGGCGCUAGGUGUGGGACUCAUUCCACGAGUUCCGUGCCGCAGCUAACGCAUUAAGCGCCCCGCCUGGGGAGUACGGCCGCAAGGCUAAAACUCAAAUGAAUUGACGGGGGCCCGCACAAGCGGCGGAGCAUGCGGAUUAAUUCGAUGCAACGCGAAGAACCUUACCUGGGUUUGACAUAUGCGAGAACUCUCUAGAGAUAGAGAGCUCUUUGGACACUCGCAUACAGGUGGUGCACGGCUGUCGCCAACU
rnacentral:rRNA from 1 species